AAGCUCGUAGUUGAAUUUCGGGAUCAAUUUAUUGGUCGUGCUAUUGUACGUACUGGUAUUAUUGAUUCCUACCUUCUGACGAACCAUGAUGUCAUUAAUUUGGUGUCUUGGGGAAUCAGGACUGUUACUUUGAAAAAAUUAGAGUGUUUAAAGCAGGCUCACGCUUGAAUACAUUAGCAUGGAAUAACGAAAUAGGACGUUUGAUUCUAUUUUGUUGGUUUCUAGGAUCGACGUAAUGAUUAAUAGGGAUAGUUGGGGGCAUUAGUAUUCAAUUGUCAGAGGUGAAAUUCUUGGAUUUAUUGAAGACUGACUACUGCGAAAGCAUUUGCCAAGGUUGUUUUCAUUAAUCAAGAACGAAAGUUAGGGGAUCGAAGACGAUCAGAUACCGUCGUAGUCUUAACCAUAAACUAUGCCGACUAGGGAUCGGAUGAUGUUAAUUUUUUAAUGACUCAUUCGGCGCCUUACGGGAAACCAAAGUGUUUGGGUUCCGGGGGGAGUAUGGUCGCAAGGCUGAAACUUAAAGGAAUUGACGGAAGGGCACCACCAGGGGUGGAGCCUGCGGCUUAAUUUGACUCAACACGGGGAAACUCACCAGGUCCGGACAUAGUAAGGAUUGACAGAUUGAGAGCUCUUUCUUGAUUCUAUGGGUG
rnacentral:rRNA from 1 species